rnacentral:rRNA from 1 species
GCGCAGCAGUCGAGAAACUUCACACUGUGCGAAAGCACGAUGAGGGAAUCCCAAGUGCUUGCACGUAAGUGUAAGCUGUUUCUCUGUUUAAAACGCAGAGAGAGUAAGGGCUGGGUAAGACGGGUGCCAGCCGCCGCGGUAAUACCUGCAGCUCAAGUGGUGACCGUUAUUAUUGGGGCCUAAAACGUCCGUAGCCGGUUUAAUAAAUGCCUAGGGUAAAUCGUGUAGCUUAACUAUACGUAUUCCGGGUAGACUGUUAAACUCGAGACCGGGAGAAGUUAGAGGUACUCCUGGGGUAGAGGUGAAAGUUCUGUAAUCCGUAGGGGGACCACCAGUGGCGAAGGCGUCUAACUAGAACGGGUCUGACGGUGAGGGACGAAGCCCUGGGGCGCAAACGGGAUUAGAUA